UUUGAUAUCUACAAUUUAUAAGUGCCAAAUGAUAAGUCAAUUUGCAGAGUUGAUAUUAUGUAAUUAGAUAAUAGUAUAUUCAAAAUAUACUCCCACUAUUUUAUUCAAAUUAAUAGCCCUAACCAUUAACUCGAAAAGCAUUUUUCUAUUAAAUCUUUCUAGUGAGCCAAGAUCCAUAUUUCAUUAUGACUUAAGUUAGCUUUGGCUAAUCUCUUAAAACACAAUUAUUUAGGUAGACAACGUUUUUGUCAAUUAUAUCAUAUAUAACUCUUGGAUAGUUUGGUAAACAACAUUUGUUUCUAGUCCAUCUAAUGGUACCCACCAAACUCUAUGCCUCUAAGUCCUCAAUCCUAUUGAGAUAACUUAGUUAAGUCAGGCCCAAUGAUUUUAACAGUUUGGAUAUCACAAUUAUCCUAUCGCAUCUUACCAAGAUAAAUAGGGUACUCUGCUUUGGCAAACCUACAUCUAUUGAUCAAAGUCUUGAUGAGUGUUUUUCAUUGGAAGGCAUCUGAUUUAGACUUAAUAAUUUAAUGAGGGAUUUUAUUAAUUAAUUCAGAUCUCACCAAUUUUAAUCUCAUUAAACAUGCACAUUAUUUAUCAC
rnacentral:lncRNA from 1 species